rnacentral:ncRNA from 1 species
GAUCCGUAACUUCGGGAGAAGGAUUGACUCCGGGGGCGAAUCAGACAGGCCGAGAUCAGAUACGUGUCGAUCCAGUUGGGGGCUGGUUUCUUUGUUGCUUUGUGUGCUUCGGUGCGCGUUGUGGUGAGGUUACUGGACUAUGACCCGGGUCGAUCGUGGGCAGUUUCCGUUGUUAGUGUCGUGCAGCUAGCAACGCGCGAGGACAUGUUCCACGUUGCUUCAAGCGGCUGUACUUCCAUGGUCUGGCGCGCGAUGGCUAACUCAGAACUGUCACGGACCAGGGGAAUCCGACUGUCUAAUUAAAACAAAGCAUUGCGAUGUCUACUGUGUGGUUUUGACGCAAUAUGAUUUCUGCACGGAAUGUCAAAGUGAAGAAAUUCAACCAAGCGCGGGUAAACGGCGGGGGUAACUACGGCCGAAUUUAACUCAAACAUUGGGUAUUAGUUAAUAAUGAGAGGUAAUACACGUCAACUG